rnacentral:snRNA from 1 species
GAGUUAGCUUGGGCAGCACAUCUACUAGAAUAUGUAGAAUACAGAGAAGAUUAGCAUGGCCCCUGCGCAAGGAUGAGGCGCAAAUCCGUGCAGCGUGAUAUUUUUAA